GUUCAUUCCAAUCUUCAACAUUUGGAGUAAGUUUCCUUCGUUCUCUAGUUAUUCUGCUGUAGUCGAAUAAUUUGGUUCGGAAAGAUAUCUUGUGCGAGACGGAUUUUUAGCAACGAGAUCAGCUCUACAAAAUCCUCUGUUUUCUUCACCAUAACAAAUCAACAAUUAGAGGAUUUUUUGAUGCAACAUUGCAGUCGCCAAACCACUCGUGCCGAUCUUUCUUUGGAGCCAACAUCCUAGCCACUAAAUAUACUAAAAACUUCAUUUGCUGCACAAUAUUUCACGCAAUCGUUAAGCCGGUGCGAACAUCGGGACGGAAGUUACCAUCGAUUCUGCAAGCACAAACAGAGAUGC